GGCAGAGGUGAAAGGUCAAACCUGAAGGCGGAAAAAAAAGGUCUAGUCCGGAGAAAAUGAUGCCUAAGUUCGCUAAGUGUUUUCCAGAAACAGAGAAGGAGAACACGACCAGUAGAGAGAGGAUCCAAAACUGACCACAAUAAACGGAUACAAAGUAUAAGCCUUUUAAAAGGCGCGCCUGACGUCGAGAGGAGCACCAUGAAGACAUUUUGAAGAUGUUGCUUGCUAACACCACUGCACUUCCUGCUUCGUUACAGUACUGAAUGAAAGUAUGCGGCUUCAUAUGAGUGUGGCACUCUGUACCUCAGAUGAUCUGGUGAGUUUGCUCCAAAGUCUGAAUGUGAGGAGACACCAGUUUGAGAAUGAGAAGCACCUUUUGUUCUGCGGUUUCCAGGAAAAAGCGGCGAGGGUCUCAAGGGGACAGAAACAAUCUCCAACAUCACCAUCUUGGCAAUGCCUGACUCUGGCUAAUCCAAAAAUGGGCAAAGAGGUGGAGCCGAAAGAAGCCUGGUUGCUGCCCUGAGAGGGCACCCACCUGUCACUCAAUGCGGCCGCGUCCUUAAUCUUGCAUAACUUUAAGCCUUAAUAUAAUUUAAACAGGCGGCCAGUAGGAUCCAGGGCACAAAGAGGAAGGAGCUGGGAGGUGGCAGACAGUGAGCUGCUACAAACUACAGCACACUGGGUCAUAGGAGGAGCCAGGAGGACAGAGAGUGUUGUUCCCAGAAGUCAACUGCAGUGAGGCGGGGCGUCAGCCAGCACACCAGAGACCUGCCUUCCCUUUGCCUUCCCAGCUGCUGGGAAAGAUGGAGAUACCAGCAAAUCUGUGUUUGUUCAGCCACUCCACAAAUAUCCCCUCUCCAGAUUGCGUCUGGCCGAGGAAACGGCACUUGACUGGGAUUCUGAAAUGAUUAUUGGUGGCAGUGUCCUUCUGGGGCUGCUUUUAUAAAUGUGCCAAUAAAUUUCACAUGUCCAGCUUUGUUUUGCUUUCAUUAGGCCUCUAAUCUCCGUCCCAGGGCCAGGCCGAUUCUGCCAUGAGUGAACUCUCUGUUUUCACUAGAGCCAGUGAUUAAUGACUGGACAGGAUCAUUACCAACGCUCUGCUCUGGAGUUACAUAUCUGCUUCUAUUGACACAAUGCCACAAACAGAGCAGCACUACGUCCACUGCAUGUGUGCAUAUACGUGUUUGUAUGAGAAUAUGCGUGUCUGCUCAUAUGUGUGUGAAUAUGAGCUGUUCUUGUUAUUGCAGGUGUGCUUUUCUAUGAUUACAUUUUUUGUCAGGUUUAUCAGUCAUUCCAAUUAUACCAAGUAUUUUUUAUGUUUGAUUUAGCCAAGCCUUGGUUCAGACAAUGACAAUCACCAUACAGUUUAUACCCAUCUCUCAGAAGUAACUCAUACAUUCAUAUCUCUGAAGUUUCAAACACAGUGUAAGGAUUGCUAAUGGACUCAAGGAAUCUGACCUGCCAACAACCCCACCUCUUUUACAACGCGGGCAUUGUUCAUCUUUUCCUUUUAAAACUCAUAUGUCCAUAGCAGCCAGCUAUUAACUUGACAUUUACAGUACUUUUAUCGACUCUUGAGUGCAUUGAUUCAUAACAGUCAUGUAAGUACUCAUCUCCCGGGAUAUUAGUCACCCAUCCUCUUGAUGCUGUAAUAUCAUAUUUUCGCUCGCUGUCUCAAGUCUGUGCCCCAGGCAUGGAGACAUAUGCAUGGCCUGACAAACCAUAGUGCCAUAAACCCCGCCUUUGUGCUGCAGUAUACAUCCGGCAAAGCUGAAUGUUAAUGUGAAUGUGUUUCCACAUGACUAAUAGAUGAUGCAAGCUGUCUGCCAGGCCAGGUUUUCUUCUAAUCGAAAGCCAGACAGUGUGCGGUGGGAACAGGAAACCCAGGGUUUUUGUUUUGUUUUUGUGAGGUCAAAGAAAGACAGAGUCACCUGUAGAGUGGAGUCAGCAGGUGCUCUGCAUCUCAGGUCUCAACACCUUUACUGUCUUGGGAGUGAUUAUGCUGCCUGCAGACUGGCUGCUAGAUGGGAGGUAGAGAUGGGGAGGGAACUGUUCUCUUUCCAUAUACCUAUAAAAUGUGUUAAUAGAUACAGUAUGAAUAUGGUUCUAAAUACACAUAAAUACUGUUAUCUGUUUACUUGAUCCAGCUUCAUGCUCUUCAUACCGGUUGGGUGAGAAUUAAAAAUUUUGAUACCA